rnacentral:rRNA from 1 species
UACGUAGGGUGCAAGCGUUGUCCGGAAUUAUUGGGCGUAAAGAGCUCGUAGGCGGUUUGUCGCGUCUGCUGUGAAAACUCGGGGCUUAACUCCGGGCCUGCAGUGGGUACGGGCAGACUAGAGUGUGGUAGGGGAGACUGGAAUUCCUGGUGUAGCGGUGAAAUGCGCAGAUAUCAGGAGGAACACCGGUGGCGAAGGCGGGUCUCUGGGCCAUAACUGACGCUGAGGAGCGAAAGCGUGGGGAGCAAACAGG